ACACAGAGCUUGUACAGCCCUGUGAUUGUUGGCUGAGAUUUCAGCGGAAGUCUCCAUGAAAGGACUUUAUCCUGUGACAGCUGAUAGGAGAACUGUUUGGGGAUUACCAUGGAGCAGCUGACGUCACUUCACACACAAACACACACACACACAGGAGUGUCAGUGAGGGUGUGGAGGUGAGGUAAUACUUCAACUUAGGUGAGAUUAAAUAGGGGAAAUCUGAGAAACAGCCCUCACACUGUUUCUGACCUAACUUUAGAGGAGCAGUGUGUGAGAUUUACAGGGAAUCUAUCAGUGAGGAUUGUAGAUUACAACAAACUAAAACUUCUCCCGUUUAGGAUUCCUUCAGUGCUCAUUGUUCAGGAGAUUUUUACUGGGAGCCAAAUUAUCCACAGAUGUCUCUCCCUCUACAAAACAAAUGGACCCGGUGAUUUAACCUGGUAAAAACACUGAAUGGAGACGUUUCACGUUAAAAGUCAGUGUUUUUCCAAUGCUGUUUGGCAUUUCGGAAACGGAGCCCAGCACCUGCUAAUCUGUGCUCGCCUAUUUUCUCUGUAUAAUUUCAGAUCCAGAUGUUUGGGGGGUUUCUAUUGGGAGCUGAAUUAUCCACAGAGGCCUCUUCGUCUCCAAGACAAAUGGACAUGAUCCCGAUGUUCAGGAUGUUUUUACCAUGAGCUGAAUUAUCCACAGAGGUCUCUUCCUCUCUAAAGGAAAUGGACACGAUCCAGACAUCCAAGAGGUUUUUAGCGGGGGCAGAAUUAUCUGCAGAGGUCU